CGGGUGUGGCAUGGAGAGAGCUUCAGGGCGCGGGCGGUGAGAAAGUGAGCCCAGGCGGUCUCUGGGUGUUGAUGUGGGGGCCCGGACUCCUGGAUUUCCUGGAUAGGGCUGUGACCUUGGGAUUCAGCUGGGACCUGUGCUAAUCCCCGAGUAGCCUCAGUCUCCUUCCGUCUUGUGACAGACCCUCAACCCUUUAUUGUCUGUCAAAACCUUGAUACUCCACAAACAUCGGUCGGCUACCUUGUGAAACACCUUGGCAGUUCCAGAUAUUUAGUCUACAGUGACUCAGUUUGGGAAACGGCCGCCACAGAUUGACAGUGUUGCUCCAACCUCAACCAUCCAUCACUGUUAGGGGGAUUCACGCUGUCGAUCAGUGACAUUAACCUUGCCCGGCAGUGUCUGCUAGGUUUUUAUAUCAUAAAGGUCUAUUUUAAAUUUUAUAUGGAGAAAUUAUGCCAUACCCAUGUCCUGUUCCUCCGUCCACUCUCACCUGCCACUUUCAACAUUUAUGGCCAGGUCCUGUCUGUGACCGCUGUCACUGUUCUGGGUGCCCAACAAGACGUGGGUGGAUAUACCCAAGGUAUGUCACAUGAAGGUUGAGAUGAAGAUGUCCAGUAUGUGGAUCCUUGUCUAAUACCCCAUCUUCCUUGCCUGAGUGACUGCAUAUGCAACUUUGAAAACUAGCCCAGCAUCAACUCCCUGCUCCAGAAACCUCCCCUGUAUGAGUUGCAUGCUCCUCUCUGAGGAAUAAACUCUACAUAUUUCUCAGUACACAACUGUCACUUAAUAACCCCUGAUGUCUUUUUUUUUUUUGUGAGGCUAUCUCAUGAUAUCUCAUGAUAGCCAAAGUACUAUUUGGAUGUCAAUCUAAAUAAUCCUUCAAACUAAUGUACAUUUGCAACUGACAGAUGAAUAAAGAGAGAAAGACUUGGUUCUGAAGUUCCUAAA